rnacentral:rRNA from 1 species
CCUACGGGUGGCAGCAGUGAGGAAUAUUGGUCAAUGGACGCAACCCUGAACCAGCCAAGUAGCGUGAAGGAUGACUGCCCUACGGGUUGUAAACUGCUUUUAUGAGGGGAUAAAGUGAGUCACGUGUGCCUUAUUGUAGGUACUUUAUGAAUAAGGAUCGGCUAAUUCCGUGCCAGCAGCCGCGGUAAUACGGAGGGUCCGAGCGUUAUCCGGAUUUAUUGGGUUUAAAGGGAGCGUAGAUGGGUCGUUAAGUCAGUUGUGAAAGGCUGCGGCUCAACCGUGACACUGCAACGGAUACUGGGAGUCUUGAGUACACUGGAGGUAGGCGGAAUUCGUGGUGUAGCGGUGAAAUGCUUAGAUAUCACGAAGAACUCCGAUUGCGAAGGCAGCUUACCAUACCGCUACUGACAUUGAUGCUCGAAAGUGCGGGUAUCAAACAGGAUUAGAUACCCUUGUAGUC